AAUCUUCCGUAAGGGACGCAAGUCUGACGGAGCAACGCCGCGUGAGUGAUGAAGGCUUUCGGAUCGUAAAGCUCUGUUGCUUGGGAAGAAUAGUCUUGGGAGUAACUGCCCAAGUUGUGACCGUACCUGAGAAGAAAUCCCCGGCUAACUACGUGUCAGCAGCCGCGGUUAUACGUAGGGGGCAAGCGUUGUGCUGUAUUAUUGGGCGUAAAGGGCACGCAGGAGGUGGUUUAAGUUUGGUUGUUAAUCCCAGGGCUCAACCCUGGUACGCACUGAAAACUGGAUCACUUGAGUGCAGAAGAGGAGAGUGGAAUUCCACGUGUAGCGGUGAAAGGCGUAGAGAUGUGGAGGAACGCCAGUGGAGAAGGCGACUCUCUGGUCUGUAACUGACGCUGAGGUGCGAAAGCGUGGGUAGCAAACA
rnacentral:rRNA from 1 species